rnacentral:misc_RNA from 1 species
GAUGAAGAACGCAGCGAAAUGCGAUACGUAAUGUGAAUUGCAGAAUUCAGUGAAUCAUCGAGUCUUUGAACGCACAUUGCGCCCCCUGGUAUUCCGGGGGGCAUGCCUGUCCGAGCGUCAUUUCAACCCUCAAGCCCCCGGGCUUGGUGUUGGGGAUCGGCGUGCCCUCGCGGCGCGCCGUCCCCUAAAUCUAGUGGCGGUCUCGCUGUAGCUUCCUCUGCGUAGUAGCAACACUCGCACUGGAUCGCAGCGCGGCCACGCCGUUAAACCCCCCACUUCUGAAAGUUUGACCUCGGAUCAGGUAGGAAUACCCGCUGAACUUAAGCAUAUCAAUAAGCGGAGGA